rnacentral:rRNA from 1 species
CGGUUUCUUAAGUCUGAUGUGAAAGCCCCCGGCUCAACCGGGGAGGGUCAUUGGAAACUGGGGAACUUGAGUGCAGAAGAGGAGAGUGGAAUUCCACGUGUAGCGGUGAAAUGCGUAGAAAUGUGGAGGAACACCAGUGGCGAAGGCGACUCUCUGGUCUGUAACUGACGCUGAGGAGCGAAAGCGUGGGGAGCGAACAGGAUUAGAUACCCUGGUAGUCCACGCCGUAAACGAUGAGUGCUAAGUGUUAGGGGGUUUCCGCCCCUUAGUGCUGCAGCUAACGCAUUAAGCACUCCGCCUGGGGAGUACGGUCGCAAGACGGAAACUCAAAGGAAUUGACGGGGGCCCGCACAAGCGGUGGAGCAUGUGGUUUAAUUCGAAGCAACGCGAAGAACCUUACCAGGUCUUGACAUCCUCUGACAAUCCUAGAGAUAGGACGUCCCCUUCGGGGGCAGAGUGACAGGUGGUGGAUGGUUGUCGUCAGCUCGUGUCGUGAGAUGUUGGGUUAAGUCCCGCAACGAGCGCAACCCUUGAUCUUAGUUGCCAGCAUUCAGUUGGGCACUCUAAGGUGACUGCCGGUGACAAACCGGAGGAAGGUGGGGAUGACGUCAAAUCAUCAUGCCCCUUAUGACCUGGGCUACACACGUGCUACAAUGGACAGAACAAAGGGCAGCGAAACCGCGAGGUUAAGCCAAUCCCACAAAUCUGUUCUCAGUUCGGAUCGCAGUCUGCAACUCGACUGCGUGAAGCUGGAAUCGCUAGUAAUCGCGGAUCAGCAUGCCGCGGUGAAUACGUU